AUGGCCCGGUUUGUCCAUAACUUCACAGAGAAGGCCCUGGCACUGGUCAACGCUGCUGUGAUUUACUUGAAGCUCGAGUGGCCACAUUUUGGCACUAAGCCAAAGUUGAGUUGGUUCCUCCAAGCCCUGCUGAGAUCCCUACAGCUAUUCACAGCUUGAAAAAAAUUUGUCAAUAGUGCUCAAACCAGUAGCUUCAAACAGCUCACAGUUAAGGAAGCUCUACUGAAUGGUUUGGUGGCCACUGAGGUGUGGAUGUGGGUUUCUGUUGGCGAGAUCAUAGGCAAGCGUGGCAUCGUUGGCUAUGAUGUUUGAAGACCAGUCUUUAACAUGUGAUUAUAUUUGCUUUAUUAUUUGAGUGUUCUUGGACCAUGUAUGAGCAGGCUGAUAUUUGAAUAAAAUAAGACAAUGUGUCAAAA